CCCCUCCCCUCCCACGCGCCUCCUCUCCUCCUUCCCCGCCGCCGCCCGGCCUCCUCCUUCCACCCCUCCGGCCGGCUCCUCUUCCGCCCACGCCGCCUCCUCCUCCCCACCAGCGCCUCCCUCUCCUCCUUCCCCGCCGCCGCCCGGCCUUGGGGAAAGAUUUCGACUGCAUCCAGAGAGGGAAAGAUUUCGAGGGGGGGAGAAGGGGAGAGCAGAGAAGCUUGGAGGGCGGCGGGCGGCGGCGAUGGACGGUGAGUGGUGGAGGAAGAAGUGGGUGGCGUGGGCGGCGGCGGCGGCGGCGGCCAUCUUCGUGGUGCUGCCCCCUCCCCCUCGCGCCGCCGCCCUCAGAGAAGCACCGCAACGGCUGCUGCUCCUUGUCGCCGCUCCUCACCCACCCACCGCGGCUGCCUCCUCCCUCGGAACCCUAGCCAACCGCACGCAACCCAUGGCGUCGCCCAGCUCGCCGCCCCUUCAAACCCUAGAUCCGCCCGUGCCUCCCUGCCCCGCCGCCGUGCAGUUCCUGCCCCUACCCCGUCGAGCGGCUCAUGGCGGUGCCGGAUCCGGUGUCGGGGUCGAGGCGCGCUGCCCGUGCGUGGGGAGAGGCACCCGGACCUGGUCCAAGACUUGCACCACGGCAUGCUCGUUUCCUUGAUGCGAUUCCGUCCGUCGUCCUACAGGUAAAUCUUCGAUCUACAGCUUCUCCUGCUUGGUCUCUCCUCUCGUAUUCGUCGUCGGGCCCGUGCUGAGGCUCCAAGGAUAUGCAGGAAUAAAGAUGGCAACUUUUGGGGGCAAUGUUAUUUUAAAAUCUGAUGAUUGUUAUGUGGUGCAAGAGGGUGUUGAGCUGAUAGGUAAUUGCAGGAGUCGAUGAUAUGUAUAUUCCAGCACCUUUACUCAAGGUAACUUAUUUAUCUUUAUAACCGAGUACAUCAACUGAAUUUUUCCCAUGGCAAGCUAGCUUCAACUGUUCCUGUUUGAUUAUGUCGUUUAUUAGUAGUUGUAUAAUAGUUAAUGGUGUGGAUUCAAUCAAGAUCAAGGUCAGCAUUAGUCUGAAUUUUCUUGAUCAACAGUAAACUGCAGUAGGAUUUUUUCCAAGUUAGUGCUUGCAAAAAUUGUUACUGUCAACUGAAACAUGAGCGUAUGUUUUCAAAAUUUGCAAAACUGCAGUAAGCAUCAUUCUUGUUUUUUGCAGAACUGAAUUUACUAGCACCAUUUUGCAUCUUGCCAUUACUGUACAAAUUCCCACCUGCUCCCCUGUUUCUUGGUCAAAACUGAAUGUUGACAGAGUUUUGGUCAAAACAUUAGACGAUGCAGCUUUUUCAGCUAUCCAAAGUUUUAAGAGUACAGUAUUCAUUUCAAAGUUCAUGUAUAAAAUUCAGUUUAACUCUGAGAGGGAAUAAACUAAUGUAGUUUACUGCAGUUUAUUGCAUAAUUAUGCACCAUUCGGAGCAAGAAUUCAGUUUACUGCAGUUUAUUGAAUCAAGAUACGGUAGCAAUCAAGCAGAACAUGUACUGUAUUCAUUUCAAAAUUCAGUGUACUGCAAAGUGUUUCAACCAGAACAUGAAUUAAGAUGCAAGAAGCUUCAAGUUGAUAGCAGUCGAUGCAAAAUUAUUCACUUAAACUUCAAUGUUCAGUGGUUAGAACACAAGACCAGAUUUCUUAGGUUCUACUGUACACAAGUUGAUUUAGCCCACAAUAUGUUGAUUUGCAUCAGAUGUUCUAGACUGCAAGCAUCAGAGUUGAAGAGGCUAUUAGCAGAACUAAUUUUCGCAUAUUUUUAUUUUUCUUUAAGUAUUUUGUUUUGUUAGCAAUGGUCUAAGACUUGGUCCUUGACUAAAACUGUCAUGUCUUUUUUUUGCUUGUUCUAAUCUGCGAAGUAGUGACUGGUGAGCUUGAAUUUAGUCACAAGUUUGCUUACUGAAUGCAAUCUGUAUGUGUGGAGUACUGAUACAGUGUGGAGUGUUGCUGUUGAUUGGGACAACUAACGCCUGUAUUCCUGUGAUUUAGAACAUGGAGCAAAUUGGGACAACUAAUGGCAGUAUUCGGUCAACUCAAAAAUGAUUUUCUCUCUAUAGUUUGAGCCACAUCCAUGACCUGAAAAACAGUAAACUGAAACUGUCUGUAACAGUUAACUGUUUCUGGGAUUUCUGUGGUCCUUUAAAUUUAGGUCAUGUACUGCUAGGAGUUGUCUGGAUUUUUUUUGUUAGAACCUGGGAGUCGUACAUGACAUGUAGAACAUCUAAAGUUCUGUUAAAACAUUCUGUAAUUCAAGGUUUGGUCUUCGGCCCUCUGUUGCAGCAUGUGCCGCUCAACAUGAUCUGUAGAACACUGAAUGGAUGCACAAGAAAAGGAAAAAGGCAGCAAGGAGGGAGAGGAUAUUUUUGUAAGGAGUGAAAUUGUGAGUGUUUUCUACGCAACCAGAGAAAGCUUGCUCGUAAUUCAGUCAAGAAGGGGACGAUGAAGAGGAGGCCGUGAAUGUGUUGAUUCAGGAUCCAACUGGCGGGGGCGCUGGUACCUUCAACAGUAGCACAUCGGGGGACAAAGAAGAAGAUUGGGGCCGCCUGGACGAAGAUCGGGAGCUGCACCACCACUAGCAGAAGCAGCAGAGGCGGAGGAAGAUGGCAACAACAGAAGAGGCCGGAGUGGCGGAAGGGAGCGUGCCGGCGGCCGAAGCGGACGGCCCAGGCCCUGCGAGCGGCACAGGUAGGCGGCGGUGUUCACCUCUGUGGCAGCUGCGCAGGUGGGCGGCGGUGCUGGGUACGCGAGCAGGAUGACGAGGAGAUGCCGCCCAUCAGUCGUGGAGCCGCCGCCCGUUGAGUUGUCGCCGGAGAGGAGCAGGCGGGCGGCUGCGAAGCUUGCCUCCGUGUGCGCAGGAUAUUGGAGCGACAUGGAUUUGCGAUGCCGGCACUGAUCUUCCCGCCGAGCUCACCCCUCGCCAUCGCCGGGAGGAGACACCACUGGUCAGAUACAUAGUCAGUAGAGCGGCCUGUCUGCCUCCAUACAGCCAUGAUGCGAGGCACGCAGGAGGUGCUGGAUUGGAUCAAGCGCAGAGGUGCGGGAUCGAGGCAAGGAGAUGCGCGAUCAAGCCACUCGAAGCGAGGGGAGACGGGGUCCGUGCCCGAGGCGAUUCUGCCUGACGCCAUGGUUCUUCUAGUGAAACUGCUCCGGUGAAGCUGUGUCACCGCCGGCACGUCCAUCACAACCACUACCGCUCAAGGUACAAGAAUUCACUUUGAUUGCAGAUCCCUACAGAAGUAAAUCCAUGGCUACUGGACUGUUGUGCGUGCUUCACCUUGGUUCGUCGAACAUGUGUCCGCUGGCAUGCUGCUCCUUAUGCAGAUAAUGAGAAACAAUCUAAUGAUCUAUUUUACCACUAAUUACAAUGACAUGGUGUAAAUGCUGAUGCUUGAGCCUGUCGUAGAAUCUACUUGUGUUAAGUACCUGUACUAUGAUUUUAACCUACAAAAUGUGGAACAUACAAGCAUUACUACCAUGUAUCAUUUAGUUCUGUGUGUGUUUCAUAGUGAUCCAUUACUACUAUAUGUGUUUUCUUCUCCCACCUCUUUGAGAAAGUUGUUUCCAUAUCUGCUCCUGUUUUAUAUUUUACAGACUUUGAACUUGCUGGGGCUGGAACGGAAAUGGAACAGGCACAAGAGCUUGAGGUGUUUGCACCAAUUGCUUUCUUCACACAAGGCCAUGGCUUUGAUCAUUGUGGACGUCACCGACCACCUAUUCUAACUCUGGCAAGUACCCGAUGAUACAUGAUGCCACAAGCUCUUGUGAUGUACCAUGUAAACUACCGUGUGAUCUACCUUUUUUGUGAACACGGCCUCUUUGGCAUGUCUAUCCAUCCUUUUGUACUUAAUAUCUACCUUGUACAAAUAUUGCAUCCUUUAUUUUACCAUGUAUGAACAUUUGCAUCCUUUAAAUGUGUUUACUAUCGUUCUGGUCGCUAUGGAGAUCUGUUGUUACUAUCGUUCGGUAUCCAUUGAUGAUGUCUCCUAUUAUAUGUGAAUGUUCUUUUCUUUUGGUUAUCCUGUUUGAAUACAUAUGUUAAACCUGGCUUUCUACUAAAUUGAGUAUUAUUUACUUGGCCAGAUCGUUGGGACCGGCACCCUCGCGCCAAGGCGCGUUGCCGAUCUAGUCUCUAUUACGUGACCUGCUCCGGCACCUCUGAUCGACCUUCCCCAUCGUCUCUUGCUUGAACGUGUGAACUUUUGCUGCUCCUCCAUGUAAAUUUGCCUACUGCACUACUACGGUUGCUCUAUGUUGUGCCCUUUUGCUGGUUGAAGUUGCUGUUAUUUGCUAGCUUUGUCAUAGGCUACUUCACUUGGAGCUUGAAAUCAAUUUCAUUGGUUAUGUGUGUGCUUGGAGUGAGAACACUCGGCCAUAGAAAAAAUGGAUGCUCCUCGGCUACUAAUGCCAUGGCUGCCUCAGCUCUACUCGUUCAAGCGACGGGCAACUCUGAUGUUUGUUUCUACAGUAUGGAUGCUUCUCUGUUAUUCAUCUUAGUAUGUCAAAGAAAAUCAUGAAUGAUUGGGUCUACAUCUGCAUAAAAGAUAGUCCCUUUCUGAGUUUUGAUUCGUUAAUUAAUUUCAUACGUGCGUUGCUAAAAAAGAAUUAACCGUGUAGAAUGUGAAAAACUUAGAUUAGAGUUGUACUUUUUCUGCUGAAUUUUUUCACCAUGUUUCUUGGUUAUCAAGUAAGUGUUCUUCGUUCUUUUCAUCAAUUUCCUCAUUGAUGGCAAAGCUUGCUGCUACUCGCUUCCAGUGUUGUGUACUGUGCUCCUGCUCUCUAAUGUACUAUCUGAAGCUUGUACAGCCUGCCAGAGCAAAAAAAUGGGAAGGCACUAAUCUGAAGUUCAGAUAUGAUAAAGAAAGAAGUCGUGCGAUCUCGGAUCUAGUGAUUUUCCAUGAGCUAUGGCCCCUUUCCCUGAUGCAUAAACGCGGACGGCCGCCCCGCAACAUACAUCUUUCUCCCGCUGCUCUAGCAAGCAAGCUCCCAGCAUCGCACCUCCAGCCUGCGACCUACCCUUCUGCCACAUCUCCACCAGCCGUUGCUACCUCCCGGACAUAUGAAUGGCGUUGCCGAAGUCCACAUUGUACCACACCAGCAGGACGACUCCUACAGGUCGUGCCAAUCGUCUUUCUUCCUCUAGUGAAGUAGCCGGAGGCAGGAGCUAGCUGCGCACUCGCUGAUUUUGGUAUAGCCUAGUGGUUGUUAACCAACCUAAGCAGGUCAUGUUUGUGUCAGCUAGAAGUACCAGUUU